rnacentral:tmRNA from 7 species
GGGGGCGACCUGGCUUCGACGUGGGUAGCGAAACCCGAGGUGCAUGCCGAGGAUACAGAUUCCCUCGUAAAUCCAUCUGUACCAAGAUAGUUGCCAACGACGACAACUACGCACUCGCAGCUUAAUAACCUGUAGAGGCCAUCCGACUGGAGCCGUGCUUGUGCGUCCAGACUCCGGGUGUCAUAUCUCACAAGAUCGCGUUGAAGCUCGUCCGGGGCCGAUCCGCUAAACACAAACCGGAAUCGCUGCGCUGAGUGCCCUGUCGGUCGGGUGUCAGGCAGUUAAACUUUAAUAGACUCGACUAAGCAUGUAGAGCCGAAGGCGGAGUGCUUGCGGACGCGGGUUCGAUUCCCGCCGCCUCCACCA